AGUGAACGCUGGCGGUAGGCCUAACACAUGCAAGUCGAACGGCAGCACAGUAAGAGCUUGCUCUUACGGGUGGCGAGUGGCGGACGGGUGAGGAAUACAUCGGAAUCUACUUUUUCGUGGGGGAUAACGUAGGGAAACUUACGCUAAUACCGCAUACGACCUACGGGUGAAAGCAGGGGAUCUUCGGACCUUGCGCGAUUGAAUGAGCCGAUGUCGGAUUAGCUAGUUGGCGGGGCAAAGGCCCACCAAGGCGACGAUCCGUAGCUGGUCUGAGAGGAUGAUCAGCCACACUGUAAGUGAGACACGGUCCAGACUCCUACGGGAGGCAGCAGUGGGGAAUAUUGGACGAUGGGGGCAAGCCUGAUCCAGCCAUACCGCGUGGGUGAAGAAGGCCUUCGGGUUGGAAAGCCCUUUUGUUGGGAAAGAAAAGCAGCAGGUUAAUACCCCGCUGUUCUGACGGUACCCAAAGAAUAAGCACCGGCUAACUUCGUG
rnacentral:rRNA from 1 species